UGUUUAACAAAUUGGUGCAAGACAUAGUUAAUUGUGAUGAGACUGUGUCCGAAACUUAUAAGGCUAUAAUUUUGCUAAAUGCAAUCCUUGAUUCCUAUAAGGAAGUUAAGAAUGCCAUUAAGUAUGGCAGAGACACGUUAACACCUGAAAUUGUCAUAUAUUCCCUUAGAAGUAAAGAAAUGGAAAUUAAGGCUGAAAAAC
rnacentral:lncRNA from 1 species